rnacentral:rRNA from 1 species
GAUGAACGCUGGCGGCGUGCCUAAUACAUGCAAGUCGAGCGAACAGACGAGGAGCUUGCUCCUCUGACGUUAGCGGCGGACGGGUGAGUAACACGUGGAUAACCUACCUAUAAGACUGGGAUAACUUCGGGAAACCGGAGCUAAUACCGGAUAAUAUAUUGAACCGCACGGUUCAAUAGUGAAAGACGGUUUUGCUGUCACUUAUAGAUGGAUCCGCGCCGCAUUAGCUAGUUGGUAAGGUAACGGCUUACCAAGGCGACGAUGCGUAGCCGACCUGAGAGGGUGAUCGGCCACACUGGAACUGAGACACGGUCCAGACUCCUACGGGAGGCAGCAGUAGGGAAUCUUCCGCAAUGGGCGAAAGCCUGACGGAGCAACGCCGCGUGAGUGAUGAAGGUCUUCGGAUCGUAAAACUCUGUUAUUAGGGAAGAACAAAUGUGUAAGUAACUAUGCACGUCUUGACGGUACCUAAUCAGAAAGCCACGGCUAACUACGU